GACGAACCGUGCGAACGUUGUUCGGAAUCACUGGGCUUAAAGGGCGCGUAGGCGGGUGACCAAGUCCGGGUGAAAUCUUUCGGCUUAACCGGAAAAGUGCCUUGGAUACUGGUCGCCUGGAGGGAGGUAGGGCAUGUGGAACUUCCGGUGGAGCGGUGAAAUGCGUUGAUAUCGGAAGGAACGCCGGUGGCGAAAGCGACGUGCUGGCCCUCUUCUGACGCUGAGGCGCGAAAGCCAGGGGAGCGAACGGG
rnacentral:rRNA from 1 species